rnacentral:siRNA from 1 species
AAUCACUUGGUAGUCAUUUGAGGUC